UUUCCCCUUCUGUGUGGUUUGAUUUAUUUCUUCUCCUCCUUUUUCCUUCCCCUUAGUCUGUGCUAACUCCUCACUUAACAGUAUUAAAAAUGUACUCUGUCAUCUUCCUGCAGGUGUGCUUUUCCAGGCGUCCCUUGGGACUCAUGCAGUUAGUAUUAGCAUGGUUCAAGUCACGGUAAAUUUACUCUGAUUUUACAUCUGGGGCCCUCUGAUGAGGCAAAUGGGAUUAACCAGCAAAGAAAGUGGUGGCUUCUGCCAUCUUGUUUGCUGCAAUGCAAGUUUGUGUUGGAUGGGCUGUUAGCAGAGCUGCUGACUCAGCAGUGGGAUGUUUGCUCUGACACUGGCAGAAGGAGUCUUUAUCUCAAGCAAGGUGUAGUUAUAGGGCUGUUUGUUUUGUAUUGUACUUUGAGAGGUAGGUGUGUGUCCUCCAGUGCUUUUGUCUGUCACACCCAGGAGGGACCCAGUGGGUGUUUCUAAAUAGAAAAUACACAUCACGUGAAGAUCUCCUGGGCUGAAAGUAGGUGGAGGCAGAAAAUGGGAGACACUUCAUUUGUGCUUGCUCUGUUCUUACAUUUCCCAGGUCCACUUCUGGCUGCAGCUGAAGACAGUGUAUUGAACUAGAUCCUGUGUUGGGAUGUCCCUGUUCCUUAGAGAAGGCUUUCCUUUAGAAAAUCCUGGGUGUGCUGUUAGUUUGCUUUACCUUUAACUGAUGCACUUGGCUCUUCUUCAGGUCUGGCACCAUCAGCCAUUCCUUCUUUUUGCCAUUUGGGAGGGGAAAGGGCUUGCUAUAUGUCACCUCUUUUCCCUGAAGGGGGAGACCCAGGGCAGGAGGACUGUUAGUGACCCACGAGAUGGAGAACAGAUUUUUGCCUGGUGGGUACUGAAUUGCCCACGUAUUAUGGAUUUAAGGUUGCUCCUGCAAUGAGACUGGAACAACUGCUUAGUCAGCAAGGAAACAAUUAAUCAGCUGCAGUGCCUCAGGAAUUCACUGGGAAUACAUCUUCAGAGUUUGCAUCCAUGCUAACAGCAUUUGAACAAGCAGCUUGGGACAGAGUCACAAUCCUCUGGUGAACCUCAGCCCCUAAAGGGUGUUUUAAGGCAGGGUGGGCGAAACGCUUUCAUCAUUGACUACUCUGCUGGUAUCUGAAGCACAAUAGAUUUAAUUAAGGAGUUUGUUUAGCACUGGAGGGGAUUUAUGGAAGUUGUGACAAGUUUAAGUUGGCAACAGGGCCCAAUAAAUAGAGAUGAACUGUUAAUUAUUCCUGUGUGAUACUUCCUCUUGUAGCGUUUUAUCAAAGUCAGUGAGGGUUGGGAAUUGGCCUCAGCACAAUAAACAAAAUAAAUCAGAGGCUGGUACAGAUUGGGGCUUCUCUGGUUUGGUCACAGGAUGCUUUAGGUAAAGGGUCUUGAAGUCAGGCAGAGUGGAGAUGCCCCUGGAAGAAGGCUAGACUGAAAGAAAUGGCAAUAGAAGUGGCAUAACCGCUUCUAAUGUGUAGAAAAUGUGAAUACUGAAGUGGGAGACAACUGUGUGCGAGGCAGUGGAAUACCAUAGCAUCUGGGAGUGAAGAAAUGUUGCAUUGAAGCGAUGUUUCCUGGAGGAAGAGGAUGAUGCAAACCUGAGUCCAAAGUACCUGAGUGCACAUUUCCACAGAUGCCUUCUCCUGUGUCAAACUGGCCCUGCAAGAGACUACCCAUUGCUAGCUGAUGCACGGAGAAGCCUGGCACAUAUUAGAUUUGAAAACUCAAGAGUUGGGCCAGAAUAAUCCUGUUUUGACUCUGUCCUUAAAACCAAAUGGCAUGACAAAAACAAGGGCCAGGGGCCUUGGCAGCUAAUGUAGUCCUGUGUCACAAGUCUUCUCCCCCAGGUCCCCUGGAGUUUGCUCCAUGGUCUGUCAUCGAUGGUGGUGAGAUCAUGAAGUUUGAGGCCCUGCCAAGGCCACUUAGCUCCCUGCAACAGGAUGCAUUUGCCCUGGGGGAAGGUAAUGGAUCAAAACUGCGUUCUCUCCACCCCUUGUUUUGUCCAGUCUGCUGAUGGAUGAAUCCUGUGACUUGGCUUCCCUGGCACAGCUGGAGCCCAGUGCAAGGGAAACUUGUAUUCAUCUUGUUUCCUGACUUUCACUCCAAAAUUGAGCUUCUUUGCUAAAUAGGUUGGAUUUUCUGGCAAAUUUGCAGGGGUUGUGGAGGGUGAGUAUCUUGACAGAUCUGGAAACCUUUCUCCCAUCUUAAAGUGUGAGUUUUGCUCCUUGCUUAUGCAGGGAGAGUUGGGCACUGCAUGUUGAGUGCUGCUGUACAGCCGCAUCUUGUCACUAGGGGUCAGGAAAAUGCUGAGAAACCAGGGAGCUCCUGAAACCGAAGCCGCUGGCAGGAGGGCACAGGGUUGGGGCUCUCAAAGACUCAUCUGAUCCGAAAACCCCGGAAUGAUUGCUGACAUGAUCAGCUCUGCUAAAGAGUGGCUGCACUCAGCAAAGCAGCUCUUCAGCUGGACCUUCAUGACCAAAUUAUUUCUGAUGAGAAGCACCUCCAGAUUCUUCGGUAUGCACCAAAGCAUUGGUGCUAGUCCUGGGACACGCUUGUCUGUAGAUACAUAAGCAUUGAGAGUGUCUUUCCAGUCAGAUUGCUAGAGGUCUUUGCUUACCAUUUCUGUUCUCAAGUCUUGGAAGUUGUUUGGUUUUAUUUCCAGCUUCCCAAUUGCAGGUCUUGCAGUAAGCUGCCCUGAGGUAGGGACAGGAGAGGGGCCCUGGGUAUGGAUGUAAAAGCAAGGUCUGUGUGUACAGACCUUUUAUUGGGCAGGAUUAGAAGGUAGGAUUAUAGAAGGUAGAGAAGCUUUUGGGCAUACAGGCCCUUCUGAUCAGAACUAGAAAUAGUAAGCGUCAAAGCCAAAUGAGUUGAAAACAGUUGCUCAGAGAUUAGCGAGGUAUUUAACACAUGUCCUUGCGUUAGAAGGGAAGAGUGACUGUAAUGUACAGGAGAUGAUGGUAGGUGAGUGGACAAAAAAACGUGCUAAAGCAGUGAUUUCCUUGGAGACAGAGACAGGUAGCUUAUGGGCCAUAGCACAUUGGUAAGGCUGCUAGAGGGGACAGUGGGCACCUCCAGGAGCUUUGCCUGACAGUAGAGUUGUGAAUUUUAUUUCCUAGAUCUGCCUUUGGGAAGUGUUUCAUAGUAUUAUUAAUUCUUUUUUUUUUCCUCAGGUCAGAGCUGAGAGAGCAGAGGGAGUGAUUUACUUUAUUUUUUGUGAUAAAUGAUCCCCUGCUGGCUGCUGGGUGUGCUUGUCUUUCGCAGAUUGUCUGUAGGAGUCUGUUUGGGCACUCGGUGGAUGCUCAGCUUCGUCUCCAGCCUUCCCAGAAGGGCUGUAGGUGAGGUGGGUGAAGCGUAUUACACUGCUGGAAGCGCAGGGGUAAUAUCCAGGCAUGGGCUGUGGCAUAGGGGAAGCUGCUGGAGGUACACUGGCAGUUUUGCAUUUUUUACUGUGUGCAGAAUCUGAUAGCAGAAGCUCAUAUAUGAAAUUCAUGUCAUAUGCAGUGCUGAUUUUUUUUUCCUUGUUAGCAUUAAACAUACUCUUUUGAUGAGGUUACUCUCUUAUUAUAUUACCACCUCUAUUCCUCCCUAGCCUAAUGAGUUUGUAGUGCUUCUUAAAAACUGAAUUCAUCUGCUUUGCUUGUUCUUGCUAUUAGUUGGAACGACCACUGGACCAUGCUGUCUGCACUGUUUGUUCGAAGCAGGAUAAAAAUUAAUGGGAAAAUUGUGUACGCAGCAAUCUUAAGAAACCAAAAUGCCACUGUGCCUCACCCGUUGGGGGUAGCAAAUUAAAUAACAUAGCAGCUCGCUUCAAAGUCUGAGGAUAAAGAGUUCCCCGUGGCAGGCAUGGCAAGGAGGGGAGAGAUGAAAUACUACAAACUGUCAUUGAUUCACAGCCUGGACUGGUAAGUUUGCUGAUGUGCUACAGCAAAAUGGAGCUGUGUUUAAUUCCAGCCGCCUCUACUCCCUCCUGCGACAGCUGUUAUCUUGGAGGGGGCUGGGGCUCAAAAGGAGGGCCCUAUUACUUGUAAUGGUUUGCCUCAGCUCUUGGACCUCUGCUUAUGUCCCUCUGCUUACAUGUUGAAGGUUGUCUGAGUAGUACCCUGAACCGCUCUUGGGAAUUACUACUUGGUGUAGGCUGGGUUUCUGACCUUGCAAAGGCAAAGUGUGAAAGCUGGUGGGGGGAAGGAGAAAAGGGGGUGGCCAUUUCUGACCUGAAAGGGAAGAUCACUGGUGCUAUGAACUUCAGGAGAACAUUGCUUGGUAGCACCAGCUUCCCUGUGUUGUUAUCUCAGAGCUAAUGUCCUGUGGCAAGACAGGUUUCACUGGCUGCUGUUACUGCCUGCGAGGCACAAUGAAAAGUCAAGGUGGUGGUGACAGCAUUGUAGUGCUAGGAAGGAGGAUUUUGCUGGGAGAGACCUGGCUUUUUCUGAAAGGGGGACGUCUCGUAGGACUGUUUUCAACAAGGAGCCCUCCAGAGGGUCUUUGUGAGAGCUUGGUCCUCACGCUGGCUACACAAAGGGAAGCUGAGGAACAGGAGUAUGCCCCAUGAUGGGGAGACAGUGUUUGUUCUAUGGGGUGGGAGGGUUUCCAAUGCAAGGGUAUAUUGCGGAAUCUGCCUCUGACAUACCGUGAGGCUCAGGGAGAGCUCAUCUACUGGUGCUUUCCCUUCCUCAGCCAGUGAGGUGGCUGUGGCUUUGGACAAAUGGCCUGCAAAGUAAAUGAAGAAGGAACAGCUGGUUGAAGUGGAGCAGGGACAGGAACAGACCCAGUGGCCAAGGGCAGAAGAAGAAGAAGAAAACAGGAAUUUUUCUCCUCAAAUUCCUGUUCCUGGAUCAAGCAAGUUGUGUCAGUAGAAAGGACCAACAGUUCCAGUGCAACUGGGAGAUGUGAUAUUGCCUACUGUAGCAGCAAAGACUUAAGUCAGCAGGAUCAAAAAAGAACCUCUGUGUGCUAGCAGCAGCGUCAUUCAGUGAAGAGAGGGUUUCUCUCCAGGAGACAGCUAUUGAUCAGCAGUUUACAAUGAAUGCCCAGCAUGUAAAUAAAUACAGAUACUGUAGCGGUGCUGCAGAUUUGAGGCUGGCCUCGGGGCCUGCAUGGCCAUGUCUGUGCAAUAACUCGGCUGUCUCUUCUGAUGCACAAUUGAGCAGGUGAAGCUGAUUCACUCAAGCCUGGUGACUGCAGCUGAUCUGCCUUGUUAAGCAGGUAACUAGUGGCUUACAUGACUGACAGAUGUCUUAAAUCAGUAGGGAUACUCCAUGAAGGAUUUGAAUAUACCUUGCCCCAAUAGAUGCUUGGGAAUCCAGUUUUGCUUUUGCUAUCAAAUGCAGCAUAAGGAAGGAGGGAGGGGGGACUGUGAUGUUAAAAGCACUUGCGUUUUUGGGUACCCUCCUGGUGUCACUACAGUUCUCCAGUGCACACACAUGGCUGUUGUGGGGGAAGGAGUGAGAGCCCAUCCAGUAAAAUUUGGGAACUGAAUUGUUCCGUCUGGAGCUUGCAUGUGAACUGCAGUUUAAUGCUGCCAUUUUGCUUAGUGGCACAUAGCUUUCAUUAAGUAAUGCUGUGAAAUACUUGUGUUACGGGCUAUGAACCAGAAGAAUCAUGCCAUAGUUGCUGUGGUUGUGGGUUACAUUUUGCGUGUGGUUUGUUGACAAAAGUAACCAACUAGCAGGGAUGAGUUGGGUAAAUGUUUUUUUACUGCCUUUGUGGUACCAUCUUCUGAUGAAAUUUGAGAGGCAACCUGAGAUGUGCUCCUUGUUUAGAUUAAGAGAAAGAAAUAGUAUACUGUUUUUUAAUUUCACUUGCUUUCAUUUACAGUGCUGGAAGGUUUAGGUCUACUUCAGAGCAUGGAAUUGCAUUUUUUCCUUACAGAGGCCCAGAAAGGGUAUUUUAGAGCUUGGAGGAAACUUCAGCAAACUGGAGAACAGGCCAGGAUCUUUUCUCUCUUUGCCCUGUACCUGUAUCUUCAUUGGCAGUAAGCAUGGUGUAAAAAGCACCUGUCUUAUUUUCCAAAUCACUAUAGCCAGUGAUCAAGUCUGCCAUGUCAACAAAAAGCGUUAAGACCUCUUCUUUCUGCUGAUGCAGAAUGAUAAUUUAUGGCUCAGCCAUUGCUGAGAUGUUAGAUGCUGAAAUUAUGACCACUCUGUCAGAUUGGCUGGAUAAUUUUUACUCCUAAGCCUUCCACCAAGAUGAUUUUCAGUGCUUGGAAAUUAGUCUUACUCUGCAGAGCUGUCAGUGUCUCCCAGCUGUGUCAGUAUGUGCUCUAAGAAAUGUGUGUGUAUAUGAUAUAGCUAUUUCAUCAUCAUUCCCUGCACUCUUCCAGACACCUGGGAAGCUUAUCUUAAGUGCAGCUCUCAGCUCCCAGGGGUCACUUUUGUUAAUUCUUUUUUUGGUUUGUUUUCCAGUAGCAUAGAAAAAGCCCCAGAACAAGCUUCUUUUUUUUUUUUCUUCUUUUUUUCUUUUUUUUUUCCCCCAGACCCUUUAGAUACACAGGGAGACAGAUUUUGUGUUCCGAGUAGGUUAUGCUUGAGAUGGAUAAGGGGGAGAUUUUAUUUGUACAGGUAGGAAACUGAAGCAAGGAGAAAUUAAGACCUUGGGGUGUUAAAAGACCAAAUUCUCAGCAAAAGUUUGUGUCCUCAGAAGAUGAAAAGCAGAAAAUUGUUGUAUAGGGAGGCUGCGCUGAGGUCUCUUGGGCAGGUCUGAAAGGGUUGCCAGAACCUCUUGCAGAAAGGGAAAGACAGAUCCUUUGAGAAACAGAGCGCCCAUCUGCUGACCUUGCCCAUCGCUGAUGCGCACACAUGCUCUUGGGUUGGCAGAGAGGGGCCACGUCCACCCCCAAGGCACAGUUCCUCCCUGAGAACAUCUGUCCCUGUAGCAACUCAUCCUGGACAUAGUCCUUCCUAGCCAGACUUGGGAGAUGCAAAAAAGCCCUGUAGAAGAGGUUUUGCCUUUGUUGCUUUCUGUGAAGGUGAGCUGCAAGUCUACAGUUGCCUCAUCAAAUUUUUGGAUACCCUCCCUGACUGAUUUGGGCUCUAUUAUUAGUAGCUGACGUGCUGGUAGAGUCACUCCCCUCCUAACUCUGCUAAUUAAUCAGUGCACCCUGUGGCAGCUCUUGACCAUUAAAUAAUUUUCAUUAGUAUCCAGACCCCAACAGCAUGGGUGAGUCUAUCUAUCUUCAUUAACUCUUGGAUUUCAACACCAGGAACAGGAGCCAGAAGUGACAGUAAAAGGGCGGUUUCCUGUCUAGUCGCUUUCUCACCCCAGUGCAAACUGACCUUGGUGAUAUUUCUUUUUUCUUCCUCUUCCCACCCCUUGUUGUGUGUUGGUUAAUGGAGAAGAUGGACAAUAACUUCAGCCACUCUGCUUCUUAUCCCAAGUGGCUGCCCUUAGGAAAAAUAUGGACAGGAUCAUCUUUAAAGGUAGAUAAAUAACGUAUGAUUAUCUGCAUUUUGUAAGUGAUCUGAGACGAUCUCUCAGGUCACAGAGGAAAGAAAGUGAAGAUCAAUACUUAUCAAUGUCUGAAUUACCUUCCUCCAUACUAAAAAUUAACUUUGCCAGUGGUGUAGCUGCAUCUGCAGACGGGUAACCCUAAAUCGACCAAACCUGUAUGCACAACCUCAAAACCAGGAAGGAGGAGUUACACUUCUUGGAAGUAUUUUCUGACUUCAGUGAACAUCUGGUAUUUUCCUGGAAGUGAUGAAAAGCCACUGCUGCAUGCUUAACCUUGCUCUCCAGAAUGAGAGGGUGUUGCUGUCCUCAGUCACCUGCAAGGUUAUUUCCUGCACACUGGUGUAAUGUGACACAUACUUGGUCACAUUGGGAAGUUGUGUAAUUUCCUUCCUGCAAUUCCUCCAUUUGUCAGAUAAAAUGAUUUAAAGAACUAAAAGGACUCAAGCCUCCUGAGAUGUUGAAGUUAGUCCCCUACUCUUGGAUUAUACAAGGUGGUCCUCCAAUCCAUGAACUGGUGUGGGUGGUGGGCUUGACACCUGUUAACUACUGCUCUUUCUCCUAAAGCACAUCCUUUUCUGUUGGCUGGGGAGAAAAAGAGAAUAAAGGCCAGGUUUAGCUGCAGUGCUUAUGAGGUGAGUUGCUUAAAAAAAUCAUGUGAGGGUGUUUUGUGGGCUCAGGUUGUUUCAUCAGGCUAACAGUGAGAGCUCCCAGAAACUUCUGGAAAACUCAUGAAGCAGAUUACCAAAACAAUGCAUUUUGAGCACAAGGAAAUUUCUGUGUGCUCCUCUGACCUUUUGUGGCAUCGAUAUCAUGUCCCAUGGGUGGCCAAGGGAGGGAUUGUGCAGAGAUGAACAACAAAUGUUAUUUUUGCAGCUUGCUCCUCCCAGGCUGCUGUGCAUAGGCACUGCUUGGGCUUUUGUGUUUUGCUGUCUUGUUUUUCCAGUAGUGUUUCUGGGAUAGUUUUUUCCCCCUCUUCCUGUAAAACUUUACUCGGAGCUACCUCCAUUGAUACGUGUCUGCCUGCUGAGAAGCUUUCUAUCAGUCAUUUACCUGACGCCACCAUCGUAAGUUAUUUAUACAGUGAUUAGUUAAAGCUUCAGAUACUUAAUGCAACCUUUAAAUCACAUAUCCACCAACAGCUAUUGGUCACAUAAAAUUUCAUUGAGCGGUAUCUAUCACUUACUGUUUUUCUCAAUGUGUGCAUAUAUUUAAUUUUCUACAGACCUCUCUUGCUGAUAUUUUCUGCUGAGUAAGUAGUAAAUCGAGGGGCUUCAAAAGUGUUUUGUUGCAUUGCAGUGAGUGAAUUACUUCUAAAGGGAACAAGGAAUAUAAAAAUUCAUCUUGUGAAGAAGUUGCCCUGUUGUUUAAAUCCUAUCUCUCUAUGUUAAAACAGACUCAAACCUUAAAAUAAAAUGUAUUUUCACAGAAUAUGUAGCUAGUAAGGACUCCUCCAGCCAGGUAGCUUUGAAUAUUCAACCUGAUUGGAUUUAUUUCUGUGUUUUGCCUCAUCUGCCUCAGCUUAUAGUAUGCUUAUGAGACAUCUGCUUUGUACUAGGGGUUCAAAACUGUACAUGUAAGUGCUUGAAUUCAAAGAUACACAGUCAAAAUUUAGUAUUUUUAAGUUGGCUAAGAAAGCCAAGUUCUUGAGCUUAUCAAAGGAAAUUAAACUUGGAAGAAAUGUAGGUAGAAAAUGUAAAGCUGAAGUCUAAUGAAACGAACUUCAUUUUUGGAGCAAGUAGUAAUUAAAAGAAGUGAAACAAGAUAUGGCAUCUACAAGUGAAGUAGCAAGAGUGUAUUCCAGCCCUGAGAGCUGAGCCCAAGCCAGCACAGACCCUGAGGUGCAGCACUUGGGUACCUAAUCUCAUUGCGUGGUCAAGAGAGGUGGCUUGAAUGGAUCUCAAGGGAUGAGUCAGAUCCUGGGUGUGUUGAACUUCUCCAUGAGGGCCUGUCCAUGACACCUGUUGGAUCCGACAGUGACUGGAACUGCUGGCAAGGAGCCUGGAAUUAGGUUUCUAUAGGGUUGGUGAAGAAAAGCCAGACACUGAAGGAGAAAAGGAGCAAGCUUUCCCCAGCUUUGUGUGCUUUGGUGGAGACCUGCCAGCCUUCCCUGCCAUUGCAAGGCUGCCUCGACAGCCCCACAGGUACCCUGUAAAUGGGAUGUUCACGUGCAUCGCUGUUCCUUUGGUUGCAGACUGGUAGUGACCAAUGCAAACCCUGGAACAAGUGCAGUGCUGGGGAGUGGCGGGCUCGUGUUUCUACCACUCUUUGGGAAACAACUGGCAAAUUUGGAGCCCCGUCUGCUUGUGGAGUUGAUGGAAAGGAAAGUUAGUGCCAAAACAAGGGACAUUCAGUGCUCACCGGGGCUCACUUUGCUCUGGGGUGCAGACACAGCCUCACCUCAGCCUAGCACUUUCCCAGCUCAAAUAUGGGGCCAGCAACUCCUUUCUCAGGUUCCACCCUGAUUAUAAGGGGCAGAGGAGAGAAACAGGAGGGAAUAAAAGGAGAGGUUGGGGAAUCGCUGGCAAGGGCUCUUGGUGGGCAGCACAGGUGGCUGUGUUGUGGGUUGGCUGCCCAUCUGACCCUCACCAGAGCUAACAAAGUUUUCUCAUGACUCCUGACUACUCGCUACAGUUCCUUAAUUGAUUUGGCAGAGCAAAAAGGAAAAGAGUGGUGACUGAAUCCAGUGAAACUAUAUAUUUUAAACUGUCCUCCUGGAUCCUGACAAGACUUUCUUCACCCUCUUUGGAGCUGGUUGCUGUGUUGGUACCCUGCUGUUCUACAUUCCCCUUGCCUGAGGUUUGACGGAUGCUGAGGUCUCAUCUUUGGCUAAGAAUUGGGAUUUCAGUCAUCCUGGAGACAAAUUUGCCACUCAUUCCUGUGGCAGAUAAACUUCAGGCAGUUAACUGCUGCACUUGCUACAGGAAAGGCUUAGUCUGUACUGUAAUUAGGUCGUUAAUUAACCCCCUGAAUAUUUCCUCUGCCCUUGUUUUUGAAAUAAGGGUGGAGUCAGACUUCCAUCUGGCUGAACCUUAUGUGGCAGAGCUGAGUAAUAAAGACACAGUGGCAGGUAAAUGCAGGUGAUGAAGGGUCCUACCUCUGUGUCUUCUCACACAGCUGUGAGUACUGUACACUAAACCUCUCUAUAAAUAGGGGCUCGACCUCUUUUAAACUGCAACUAAAAGCAGUGUAACCCCUUCCCAGCAUUGUUUGGUGUGGCAUGAGGGAAGGGAAAAAAACCAUCCAUGGACUUCACUGGAGCCUUUCCAGGUGUGAGGGAGCUCCUGCUGUAUUUAAAGUUCAGAGUGAAAGACUAUCUUUCAAUACAUUGUAUUUAACUUUGUCCAGUUCCAUUCCCUUUUUCUGCAGCGAUAAAACCACUAUUGCUCUUUCAUCUCUCCCCCUUUCUUCCUGAGUAGGUUCUGUGAAAACGGUGUUUGGGGGCAGUAAAUCACAAAAUGGAAGCAUGCAUUCAUAAAAUGCUUUAUACCUCCCUCCAUCAAUAUUUCAAUGUGCAACACAGACACCAACAUUUCAUUUUAAUUACCCUGCAAAUUUCCUUGUCGAGGAAGAAAGCUGAACUCUGCAAGGCAGCCCAACCCCGUCCCCAUCCCCUCCUUGCCAUGGGAGCGCUGCAGUCCAAGUAGCCAUGUCUUUUGUUCAUCUGAGCCACGGGGCUCUCUGCUUGCUCGGUGUGGGUGUCUCCCGCAGGAGGAAGACUUCCAGCUGGGCAGAGUCUGGCCUGGCUCACCCUUUUAUUGCCACAUGGUGAAAGGAGGUCUUGAAGCCAUUUGUGGAUGUAUUUGGGAGCUGGCGUGUUGCCUGGAGCCCUCCAGCAGGCAGGAAGGGCGAUCCAGCACAAACAGAAGGUUUUAGAAGAUAGGCUCUAACAGUGAUUAGAGACAAGGGAAGGCUUCUCUGCUACAGCAAGUGUCACAUUUUUUAAAGCUGUCCUUUUUGAGGUUGCAUUAGUUGCUGUUUCUGUUUGCAGAAGAGAAAAGUGAUCAAGGUGUGCAAGUCACUAAACGACCGAAGCAAGUUACCCUGUGUCCUCGUGUAGCCCUUUCUGAGACAUUUAAGAGAUAUCCACUUGCAACUGAGUGGCAAUAUGGGAGUCAAUACAUUGCACACCCAAUUAAUGUGCUAAUCUGCAAAACUCCUUGCCAGAAGAUACUGCUGAGUCCCCUCGAAAAAAACCCAUAGCAGAUUUUUUUGAAGUAUAACGUUCACAGGUAUGUGAGCUAGGAUAAAAAUAUACAUAACAAAAUGCUUAAGGAAAGGAGGGGGUCCCCUAAUGCAAAGGAAGUAUGUCCCUCGUGGUGGUGCUGUUCCAUCGUUGUCAAUUAUAAAGAGUGUUAAAUGUUCUUCUUUAGCAGCUGGUGUGGGGUAUUAUCGUAGAGUGGGCAUUAAAUUAGACUGGUUAUCAGUGUAAUUCAGUAUGACAAUUUCUGUGGUCAUAUCCUGAAGACAGUGGGAAAGGUGGGGAGAGGGAGCAGCACUUGUGACACACACAAAUGCUAACUGGAAGGGAAAGAGGCAUUCAUUUCUUGUUAGUGCAUACAAAUGUAAAUGUACUGAUUUAUGUAACUUCCCAAAGCUUAGCUGCUUGCUGCCUGAAGAAGCAUUCUUAAAACACAUAUCCAAAUUAAGAUGCCAUGUAUCAGAUAAAUUGCUCUGUGUAGAAACUUUGUUUGCAAAGUCAACAUUUUUCCAACAGCCUUUUUAAUGUCCUUAAAAAACCCAAAACAAACUGUAUGGUGAAACAAAUAUCUGUAUGUUGCUGGUAUCAAGGUCCAAGAGAUGGUUUUGAGGCCAGCCGUGUCAGAGAAAGCCAGUGUCACUGUCAUGACUGCCCAGUCUUAGAUGGUUAAGUGUUGGCAUCUUCAGAUAGGUACUCAUUAAAAUUAAUUAAAGUCCAAACAAUACCAAUUAAAGUAUUUAGCAAAUGAAUUGUCUUAUUUUAACCUGCUCGAGAGCAGCAAUUUUGGGUUUUGUAAUGGAGAGCUGCAUGUUUCAAACUGAGAUGGGGAGUGUGGGAUGUGUUAUACUUCACCCAACAUCUUAAUGCAGCAUUUCCUCUGCGAGGGAAGGUGUGAAAAGUAAAGUUAAAGCUGUGUUGUCUGUUUUUUUCCUCUCCCUAGGACUGGUGUUUCCCUUUUACUCAGAGUUAUACCAGUUCAUAUAGAGAACCUCUCAGGACCUCCUUGAAGUUCCUCUGAAAAGAGCUCUCCAGGAUCCCCACUGAUGCAAGAAUUAGUCUGAUGUCUGUAAUGACAGAUGAUGGGGAGGGGCCUGCAAUCCUCACCUCACCCCUUUAGCAGCUUACUUAACAUCUGGGGACUUCAUGAGACGAAGUAAGAUGUACCCCCACCUGAGCAGAAAUAGAUGAUCCAAACCAUCUUCAAAUGCACCUAGCCUGACCAGAAGCUGCUGUGGAGCUGUGCUGCUCUUCUUGUGCAAUGGGAAGAAGCCUCCUGCAGAAGCUGUUCCUACUGGGCGAUGAAUUCCAGUUUGGUUUCUUCUCCAUCGGAAAAUGAGGGAGUGUGGCUCCAGGUGGACAGAGAGAACCAGGUGUGCCCUUUCUGCAGGAAGUUUGUUCCUCUAGACUGUUGUUGGUGUGUUUGCUGGGCAUAUACCUUAUUUCGAUUUGUGCAAUUAAAUUUUUUACUUUCUGUAGGUGAAAUGUUUUGGAGCUGACCACAGUUUCCACAUACUCCUAUUUGAGAUGAAUUGCAAGACAAUAUUUUUGCCCAGUAGAUUCCAAAGCACUCAAAUGUUCCUUCUGGAAACUUCAGCUGCUGAGCCACGCAGAGAGACUGAACACAGCGAGAGUAUGGGCUCGAGCAGAGAACUCAUAAAGGUUGCUAGAAGGCACUCUUGGGAAGCUGCAUUCAGCAUUUGCCUGUGGGAUUAUACCAAGGAACCUAAAUCCCUUGACUCUCCAAGCUAUCUAAUGGCAUUUUUAUGCAGCCCCAAGACUUACCACCUUCCCCGCUUUUCUAACCUGUAGCCUGCUUUUCCCCACCAAUCUCAGCCUACUCACUUCCCUCACCUCCCUGAGCAAUACCUUUCCCAUCUAACCUUCAAGGCUUUCUUACCGGCAGAAAUUCCUGCAGGUGGAGCUGGAACGACGUCCUGCUGCUGGAAUAAGUUAUGAGGCAUCGGUUGUCACUGAGUAAUUGCUUCCCCGCGGUUCCUGGUUCUUGCACUUGCUCUCGAUAUGCCUGUGUGUGCAGCCACCCGGACAGAGCAUCCUGCAUGCCAAACGUCCUUGUGGUCUGCAGGCAGGCAGAGUGGUGGGUGGCCAGCCUGCCCUUCAGCUCUUGCUAAAUCGUGGCGGUUUGACCACCUCCAGAUCAUGAAACAGGAAUAUCAAAGGAAAUUGUGCAGCAGUGGAGUUCAUUUUCUUGUAAUAGGCAUCCUGAUUUAAUUCUGACAGGAGGGAAUCUUAUUCCAUCACGUGUCCCCUAAGAACCGUGAUGAAAGGCGUUGUCUAUAGCGGAAACCAAUUUGUUACUGGAUUCAGCUGUAUCAAUGUUAUCCAUGAUAAGGUUGUCUUCACUGUGGCUUUGCAGUGAUUUAUCUAGAGAGGCCUCCUAACUUUCCCGGAUGCUGGGCAGCCCAAGAGUAUGCGAGGACAGCAAAAAAAAUCAGGGGCUGGCUAUGCUCUUGUGGCUAAUUCUCUUGUUGACUGUUCUCUGCAGGUGGCUGUUGCCUCUAAACCUCAAACUGGAGACCGGAGCUGCUGCUUUGGCUCCCAUUGCACCUUGACUAUGCUGUUAGAUCCCACCAGCAGAGUGUCUCCCAGGCUGACAAAUAACAGCUAAAGCACUGGAGAGCUCCAAAAGCUAAACUGACCCCUUAAGGUGGACCCAUCUCCUCGGGGAGCAUGUUACAGACAGACACGGAGAAGUCUUGGAACAGGUCAAAGCAGCAGCCUGCCGGGAAAACAGCUAUGACUUGGGAACAGAGAAACUGUCUCUGCUGCAGACGGUUGGUUGUUUUUUCACUGGGCAGUUCUCUGAGCAGUGUAGGUUUCUUCAGUUAUGGCACGAUCGUGAAGCUUGCCAUGAAAAUACCACAACAUGACAAAGCCUUCAUGGUUAUGGAAGAAGACAGAUACUCUUGAGAAGAUGAUUUUUGGGGUGGCCAGCAUUGGAGGACUCUUGAAAAAGGCUCUCUGCAGCUGGGAUUAGCCACUAGGACAUCACAGCUUGUAGCAUCUUUGGCCAAAUACCUGCACUGCACUCGCCAGCCAAAUUUUCAAAGGAGCCCAGUUUGCUGACAUGAAUGGGGUUGCUGAUGUGCCGAAAGAGAAGGAAGUGCCGGAGAACAUAUUCCUCGCUGGGUCCAAGUCUCUCCUAUUUUAUCUUUCUCUUCCAUAUGUUUUCUCUGUAAUGAGAGGAAUUAUUUAUCAUUAAAGUGAUAUAUAAUUUAAAAAUUAAAGUUAAAAUUAAUGAAUGCUUAAAUUAAUUUACUGACAAAAAUAAAUGUCUGUCCUUCAGAUCCUAUAAUUUUAAUUGGAGUGGGUUACAGCUUAAUUAACAUGUAUUGAUUCUAGUGCUGUGCACAUCUAUAGGUGGGUGGACUGUGUAGCAGUGUUGGGAGGAAUCCUCGCAGAUGAAGGGCUAAGAAUUGGCACAGCCACUUUGUAGAUGGGAAGAGAAUUCUGCUCCAAAAAUGUUAAUGAACUGAAUCAUUAAUGAGAUGCAUGAAGAAUACAGAAAAUUGAAAGGAAGUUGGAUCAAAUAAAGAAGCUGAUGCAACUGGAAAUUUUUGGGGAAAAAAGGGUUUGCUGAACCCCUGCGAUGCCUCAGGACUUUGCGCUGUGACAGGACCCAGUGGCAAGCUUGCAGCUCCCUCCUUUCUUCCCUGCACUGGUUUCCAUGGCUGUGCUGGGCACCAAGGGCUCCUGCGUGCACGGCGGCACGAACUGGAGGUUAGCUGAAAUGAGCUGUCAGCCGGACUGUUUGUAGGAUGGUGAGCAGGUCCAGCUCAGGGCUGACUGCUGGCAAUCAACUCUGGGGUGUGUGUCUUCGGCACUGUGCUGUUUGCAAGGGAGAGAAGCCGCAUUAACUGGGGGAACUGCUGUGGUUUUGUCCCUCCUCCCCUGCAACAUUGAUCCCCAGCACUGUGAGGAUUAGCAAGUGGCCAAACACAUCAGGAGGUGACCUUGCUCUGCCAUAAGAUCCCUCCUCACAGGCCUGGACUGCUGGGCUGCCAUGGGGAAGCAGACAGCAUCCCCAUGGACUGGACAGUUUUAUAACAUCAAGAAGAAUGGAAAAGCUGCAAGGCAUGCACACUCAAGAUGCUGUGCUCCUGGAGAGCUUUGGAUGGGCUCCAGGCAAUGUUUGGAGGCAAAGAAAGAUUAAGGUCUUGGAAAGAAGAAAAAAUAAUCAGCCAAGCCCUCAUCCCACAAUAUUCCUGUUCCUGUGAGCUGGGAAUGUCAUUGGAGCACAGGAAGGACAGAAAAAAUGUGUUUCUGCAAUGUCAUGUGUCUGAGGGUGAUGCAAAGCCAAGUGAUGCAGGGCUCCAAGGAGGAUGGGCGAGUUGACAUGGACCUUGCUGAUUCAGCUGGGCUUCUUUGG